GAUGAAGAACGUAGCGAAAUGCGAUAAGUAAUGUGAAUUGCAGAAUUCAGUGAAUCAUCGAAUCUUUGAACGCACAUUGCGCCCGCCAGUAUUCUGGCGGGCAUGCCUGUUCGAGCGUCAUUUCAACCAUCAAGCCCCGGGCUUGUGUUGGGGACCUGCGGCUGCCGCAGGCCCUGAAAUGCAGUGGCGGGCUCGCUGUCACACCGGGCGUAGUAGAUUUUAUCUCGCUCAGGGCGUGCUGCGGGUCCCGGCCGUUAAAAGCCUUUUUUUACCCAAGGUUGACCUCGGAUCAGGUAGGAAGACCCGCUGAACUUAAGCAUAUCAAUAAGCGGAGGA
rnacentral:misc_RNA from 1 species